GUGCUUCUGAAAAGGAGRAGCAAGGAAGGAAGAAAUGACUGAGAGGGAAAGGCAGUCUGCAUAAAAACCACUUAGCCUAGCAAGAGUUCAAGGGCUGCCGYCUUCUCCAAAGCACUAAUGGCUGCGGGUGAAGAGGUUUGAGCUCUGUGGCUGUCAGUGCAUAACUUCAGUGUGUCAGAUCCAGACCUGCCUCGAACCGCCGGCUGGCGGAAGUUGCCCAGUCCACAGCAAAACUGCUGCCUGAGCUGUCGCAGCACCGGGAUGCACUCGGCUUUCCUGGAGCUGCCACACGCCAUCCCGUCCCUCCUCCAGGAGCAGCGCUGUCGGUGCUGGCUGGGAGCAGACUCAUGCUACGCUUGCUGUGCAGCUGUGGCUACCUGAGAUGAGCCUGCUGACGAGGUGAUGGGAACAGGCAGCACAAGGAUGGUGAGUUCACUCUUGCCUCUGUAAUUCCCCAGCCUC
rnacentral:lncRNA from 1 species